rnacentral:lncRNA from 1 species
GCCAGCAUGGACAGCACUAAACCAAAGCCGCCUCUGUUCUCCACUGCUGGCAGGACCAAGCUGAGACCAGGACCAAAACUGUGGGAUGUGUUGGCCACAUACUUCCAGCCCCACAGCACACAGCAGGCAUGGAGGGCGGGUACAGGGCCCAGCAGGACAGAAAAUCUGCUGGAGCAGAUUCCUGGGAACAGCGUGUCCCUCCUCUUCAGAGGUCUCCUCUUCUUUUCUGAAGCUUUACAGAUAGAUUAUAGAAAAUGACCAGCAUGCAUGAUGAGGAAACUGAGACUCCAAGAGGCCAACUCACUUGCCUCAGAUGCCCUGGCCAGGAGGGGACAGCCUCAGCAGGACAGUCCAUGCUAGAUGACCCCUGGUCUGGCAUGAUUUCCAUUACGCCAGUGCAUUGCAUAGCAGACAAGCUCAAUCGGAAAUGCUCUCCUAGACCCAGGCUUAGGGUCUGAAAGGUGGUUACAGACCAUUACAGACCACUUUUCCACUUUUCAAGUUGAAAAGAGCCAUUGCUUUGAAAAUACUUGUGGAUUAGAUUGAAAUGCCAACGGCAGAGUAUGAAGACCAGGCCACAAAAGGAAAGGUUCAUUCACCUUGCGCCCUCUUGUGGAGAAGAAGGCAAAGAAUACUAUAAUACUACCUCAGAAAACGGGAAUUUAGUUCAUCCUCUUCCUCUAACAUACAGUUGCAAUACAAUGUAAUGAUAUGUCUUCAUCAUAGUAUGAUUUUGCAAAUUUUUUCACAAAUGAACCAGGUAGAUUGUAUUGUAUAAUUAUUUUUCCUUGUCUGGAAACAUCCUUCUGUGUUUUUGCUCCUGAAAAAUCAUAACCUUGCUUUAUUUUUUUGCUUAGUUUUCUAGGUACUUAUCAAAAUUAAUGCUUAAAAUCUCUACUGAAGCUGUAUGGUCCUCUCAAUAUUGUUAAACAAGUCUGAAUUCUCCAAUAAUUCUCCUUCUGAAAAAUUACUGGAGUUAUUCUCAGUGCUACUGCUCAAAUUGAGACUACUUUUUCAUUUGUUGCACAGCUAACAUCCUGGAAUUCCACAUUUGCAUGUCUUUUGAUAAAUAAAAAUCCCAAUUUUUAAUAA